GGGACGUCGUUCUCCUGGUAGUACGCCAUCGCCUGCUGCUUCAGCUUCUGCAGGCCCCUGGUGAUCCCACAGCUGCGGCCGCUGCCUUCUUCCCCCAUGAUGGAGAGUGUUGGUGUGUACGGAUUCUGUGGGUGCAAAGGGAAGAGCAAAAUGAAGUGCGAGUCAAGUCGAGAAGUAACCACAGCAGCAAAACAAGCUACACGACCUUGGUGCUGGGUACCCCUGACUGCAGCCGCCCACAGAGAUGAUCCUUCAGCAGUAGCAGGGCGCCUGGGUCCUGCCUCUGAGUCUGCGCUGUCCUCCCUGGCUGGGUGUGAAUUAAACACAGAAACACGUGAGAACACAUGAGCUCACGUGCACAAACCGUGCAUUAUUGGGUCUGUGGCAUGACAGCAGGAUAACACAUGGGCACUUGGGGACAGUGCCGUGUUAUGGGGGAAACUGAUCUGGAAAAAUCAGUGCUUAAUGAAAACCCAAGACAAAAUCCAGAGGUCUGAAGAGGUAAGGAGUGUCUGAGGGGUGGUGUCUGCGACUCUAGGGCUUCAGCUUCCAUUGCUUGCCCUCCCCUUCCUAGCUGUGACUUCUGUUUUCUCUCAUUCUGAAUAGUGAGAAUCGAGGCCUGAAAAAUAGAUUAUCUAUGCCUGAUGGUUUUUGUCAGAGGAGGGUUACAAAGGCUAAACAGGAUGGCACACGGAGCACAUCUAGGCCAACACUCAGCACAGAGGACCGGGUGCUCAAUACCAGCGACAGAAUUCUCUCCCUGCCUCCCCAACUCCUCCAUGACUGGAGAUUAUGUGUCCUUCUAUGGCAGUGAGCUGUUGUCUCUAGUCAAUGAACCUGCUCAGUGGAGACAGAGACUGGAUACUCUCUGAGCCAUGCCUCUUUGGAGCCUGGCACAGGAGGUACUCAGGGUGCACUUGAGUAAAGAGAACCAACAGGAAGGCCUGUGGGUCUUGUCUUAGGCUGGUUCCUCCUCACCCCCAUCAUGCCACAGUGAAUCUCUUUCUCCUCCUUUCCAGUUCCUGGUGCUGUUAUUUAUCUCCUAGUGCUUUUUGCCCAGGAUGUGUGACAUCAGCUCCCGAGAACAGUUCUGAGCCCCUUCUGGGCUCUGCCUCCCCCACCCAUCUCCGUUUCGGAGAGUCUUGACCUUCGAAGCUGCCAUUGCAGUAGGCUCCUCGGAGGGCAAGCCAUUGCUGUGUAGUCUUGUGAGUGCAGAAAACCGUGGCCACUUCAGAGUCUCCUUGUGGUUAGGAGGAUAGGUGUUUAAAAAUCAUUGGGGAGGGAUUAGUGGUAAAGAAAACCUAAGUCAGAUUGGCUGAUUAGUUACAAAGACUAAAACAAACAAGACACCUUUGGUAAUGCAGGGUGAGGAUCAUUGAUGGCAACAGUGGAAUCUGCAGGAGCUGGUCACCACCACGAUGACCCUGGAAAGGGAAAGUCGUGUCCAGUUAAUUUUGCGUGACCUCUCUGAAAGACGGCUCCGAUAUGUGGUAUUGUGUCGUUGAGUUCUUGAGCAUCUUCUCCAGAUCUGACCCUAGUUCUUCUUUGGCCUAGAACUCUUACUCUGGGUAUGUGGUUCUCUGUACCUGAUGGGAUAUUUCACACAUGCACACACACCCGGGCCUUUGAACAAACUGGUUCCCAGUUGGACGGCUUGCCCUUCCUCUCCUUGGUCUUCUCACAGGCACCCGUUCCUAGAAAGAUUCAGCUCUACACAGCAUCCACAGAGCUCCCGCAGGGCCCCUCAAGCUCGACGGGCCUUCCAUCUUUUGUGCCCACUCCAAUUUCAUGUUCUUCUCAAUAAUGAGAAUUAAUAAUGAGCCAUGGGAAUGACAGCUCACUUUACUGAGUGCCUUCUGGGGACCCAGAAGCAUAAGGGCUUUCAGUGUUACGUCAUGGAAGCUUGGCACCCUGAGAAGAAGGUACUGCUGUAGAUAGUCAACUUAAUAACAAGGGUUCUGCAGCUCAAGAUGCAUGCUGGGUAUCACAUGGUUUCCAAGCAGUGCCGUUGAGACCUGAGCCCAUCUAGCACGGGUCAAGUUCGUCUUGACUGCUCUAAGUUUAGAUGUCCUCUUGUUAAUACCCACCAUACUGACUGACAGGGGCAUUUGGGUUUUCAGUUUGUGUCCUCUCGGAAUGGUGAGUUCCUCUGAACUGGUGACACUCAUUUAACCGUGUGUUCUUGUGCCAAGCCAAGGACCGAAAUACAG